rnacentral:lncRNA from 1 species
UUGUAACCACCCACAUAAAUAAUAUUGAAACCGAGUUUAUGUUAACUGCAAACAGAACCAUGGAUGUCCUGCUGUGCUGGGUUACACUUGCACACUCAAACUACGCACAACUCAAGCAUAACAAACUUCAGUUCACACCCGCAAAAAAAAAGAAGAAAAAAAAAACUUACAGUUCAGGCAAAAAGGGCACAAACAGAACAAAUGCACAUCCACCAUAGAGAUAACCAAACUACCCACCGGAGCUCAUCUUCAAAGUCUUCCUGAGAGAAAAAAGUAUACUGGCACCGACAAGCGGGGGUGAGGCUUCAUCAGAGGCCAGCACCCGGCG